AAAAAUUCUAAACCCUAACAAGAUUUUCAUCGGUUAUGGCUAUGGAAGAAUCGGCAAUUGCCGUUGAUUUACUCACCGAUUCAUCGGCUACAUCUCUACCGUCUGAUCACACAGACUCUUGUUCUUCACCUUCUGAUCUCCCUUCCCCCACGGCCACCAGACUUAACGCCUUGGCGCCGGCAUUCGUUCCGCGGUCGAUUUCUCCUACGCCAUCUUUGAACGAUUUGAAUCAGGCUGAUUUUCAUCCGCUUCCGAACCAUUAUGUAUAUGCUCCUCAGUUGCAGGUUCAGUAUCCAUCACCGUAUUAUGGCGGUGGUGGUGGUGGUGUAGCUGAUGUAGAUCAUGCUAGUGCUAGUAAACGUGGAGGGUUAACUGAUGAAGCUGCGCAAAAGAUUGUUAAUCAAGUGGAGUUCUAUUUCAGUGAUUUAAAUUUGG
rnacentral:misc_RNA from 1 species